UAAGGAAUAUUGGUCAAUGGACGCAAGUCUGAACCAGCCAUGCCGCGUGAAGGAUGAAGGUCCUCUGGAUUGUAAACUUCUUUUAUCUGGGACGAAAACGGGAUUUUUAUCUCAAUUGACGGUACCAGAGGAAUAAGCACCGGCUAACUCCGUGCCAGCAGCCGCGGUAAUACGGAGGGUGCGAGCGUUAUCCGGAUUUACUGGGUUUAAAGGGUGCGUAGGUGGGCUUAUAAGUCAGUGGUGAAAUCUCCGAGCUUAACUUGGAAACUGCCGGUGAUACUAUAGGUCUUGAAUUAUCUGGAGGUAAGCGGAAUAUGUCAUGUAGCGGUGAAAGGCUUAGAUAUGACAUAGAACGCCAAUUGCGAAGGCAGCUUACUACAUAUAAAUUGACGCUGAGGCACGAAAGCGUGGGGAUCAAACA
rnacentral:rRNA from 1 species